rnacentral:rRNA from 1 species
CAGCCGCCGCGGUAAUACCGGCGGCCCGAGUGGCGGUCACUUUUAUUGGGCUUAAAACGUCCGUAGCCGGGUUGGGGAGUCCUCCGGGAAAUCUGGCCGCUUAACGGUCAGAAUGGCGGAGGAUACUCCCAGCCUAGGGAGCGGGGGAGGCCGAGGGGAUUCCCGGGGUAGGGGUGAAAUCCUAUAAUCCCGGGAGGACCACCUGGGGGGAAGGCGCUCGGCUGGAACGCGUCCGACGGUGAGGGACGAAGGCCAGGGGAGCAAACCGGAUUAGAUACCCGGGUAGUCCUGGCGGUAAACGAUGCGGACUUUGUGUCGGACAAGCUAUGAGCUUGUCCGGUGCCGGAGGGAAACCGUUAAGUCCGCCGCCUGGGGAGUACGGCCGCAAGGCUGAAACUUAAAGGAAUUGGCGGG